UGCAGAAGUCGCCCCUCCCCCUUGUGGGGAGGGGUUGGGGAGGG
rnacentral:sRNA from 1 species